AUUGUCCUAAGCUCCGUGUCCGACCGUCUUUGUCUAUAAGUGUUGUCCCCUUGGCCGUUUGAUAUGUUCCGACGGUGUCCGUAUCGCUGUUUGUCCAAACAAUCUUUCGUCCAAUAUCCUAGCAUCUCCACUCAGUCGACCUACCGAUUUUUCGGACCAUUGUUCUCACGUAUCCGUAUCGUUCAUCCGCUCCCUUAUUUUAUGAUCUCGUGUC